rnacentral:rRNA from 1 species
AACGAACGCUGGCGGCAGGCCUAACACAUGCAAGUCGAGCGAGGACUCCGGUUCUAGCGGCGGACGGGUGAGUAACGCGUGGGAAUGUGCCCUUCUCUACGGAAUAGCCCUGGGAAACUGGGAGUAAUACCGUAUACGCCCUAUUGGGGAAAGAUUUAUCGGAGAAGGAUCAGCCCGCGUUGGAUUAGGUAGUUGGUGGGGUAAUGGCCUACCAAGCCGACGAUCCAUAGCUGGUUGGAGAGGAUGAACAGCCACGCUGGGACUGAGACACGGCCCAGACUCCUACGGGAGGCAGCAGUGGAGAAUCUUAGACAAUGGGGGCAACCCUGAUGUAGCCAUGCCGCGUGAGUGAUGAAGGCCUUAGGGUUGUAAAGCUCUUUCAGCUGGGAAGAUAAUGACGGUACCAGCAGAAGAAGCCCCGGCUAACUCCGUG